GAUGAACGCUAGCGGGAGGCCUAACACAUGCAAGCCGAGCGGUAUUGUUUCUUCGGAAAUGAGAGAGCGGCGUACGGGUGCGGAACACGUGUGCAACCUGCCUUUAUCUGGGGGAUAGCCUUUCGAAAGGAAGAUUAAUACUCCAUAACAUAUUGAACGGCAUCGUUUAAUAUUGAAAGCUCCGGCGGAUAGAGAUGGGCACGCGCAAGAUUAGCUAGUUGGUGAGGUAACGGCUCACCAAGGCGAUGAUCUUUAGGGGGCCUGAGAGGGUGAGCCCCCACACUGGUACUGAGACACGGACCAGACUCCUACGGGAGGCAGCAGUGAGGAAUAUUGGUCAAUGGGUGCAAGCCUGAACCAGCCAUCCCGCGUGAAGGACGACUGCCCUAUGGGUUGUAAACUUCUUUUGUAUAGGGAUAAACCUACCCUCGUGAGGGUAGCUGAAGGUACUAUACGAAUAAGCACCGGCUAACUCCGUGCCAGCCGCCGCCGUAACAC
rnacentral:rRNA from 1 species